UAGAUGCCUUCUUCUUUGACAGCA
rnacentral:piRNA from 1 species